rnacentral:lncRNA from 1 species
CAAAAAUUUAGAUACAAGAUGUAAACAAGAACCAAAUCACCAAGCGAUUUGAUCCGUACAGUAUUCUUUUGUUAGGGUCGAUUAAUCUAGUUGAAAAGGGUGUUGGGACUUUUCAAGUAGGAAAUAAAAACAUUAAAGGCUUGAGUGAGCUCGAUAAGGUCGUCCUAAAAUUACUCUUUACCCCUUGUAUAACCAAUGUCUACAAACCAAGAGUAAGUCGAAAAACUGGGUUAAUGUAUUGCGGACGGAGAGUAAUCGCCAAUCACAAUCAACCCGCCAGACCGAUUACUGAUGGACACUGUGGUCCAGGUGAUGGUGCAAACUGUCCAUCAUGUAUAACUAUUAAAGAGCAAAC